rnacentral:rRNA from 1 species
CCCUUAGAUGUUCUGGGCCGCACGCGCGCUACACUGAUUCAUGCAACAAGUUUUGUCCUUGGCUGAUAGGCCUGGGUAAUCUUUGAACGUGAAUCGUGAUGGGGAUAGAUGAUUGCAAUUAUUCAUCUUCAACGAGGAAUUCCUAGUAAACGCAAGUCAUCAGCUUGCGUUGAUUACGUCCCUGCCCUUUGUACACACCGCCCGUCGCACCUACCGAUUGAAUGGUCCGGUGAAAUCUUCGGAUCUGAGAGAUGUCUGAUUAAUUUCGGACGCCUUUUGGAAACGUUGUUUAAACCUUACCAUUUAGAGGAAGGUGAAGUCGUAACA